GAUUAACGCUGGCGGCGUGCAUAACACAUGCAAGUCGAACGAUGAAACUUAAAUGAUUUCUUCGGAAUGAACUUAAGUGGAUUAGUGGCGGACGGGUGAGUAACGCGUGAGUAACCUGCCUUACACAAGGGGAUAGCCGUUGGAAACGACGAAUAAUACCCUAUGAAACUAUCACUUCGCAUGAAGCGAUAGUCAAAGUGUUAGCGGUGUAAGAUGGACUUGCGUCUGAUUAGCUAGUUGGUGAGAAAAAAGCCCACCAAGGCAACGAUCAGUAGCCGGCUUGAGAGAGUGUACGGCCACAUUGGGACUGAGACACGGCCCAGACUCCUACGGGAGGCAGCAGUGAGGAAUUUUGCACAAUGGGGGAAACCCUGAUGCAGCGACGCCGCGUGAUUUAGAAGGCCUUCGGGUUGUAAAAAUCUUUUGUAUAGGAAGAAAAUGACAGUACUAUACGAAUAAGGUCCGGCUAAUUACGUG
rnacentral:rRNA from 1 species